UACAGAGGGUGCAAGCGUUAAUCGGAAUUACUGGGCGUAAAGCGCGCGUAGGUGGUUUGGUAAGUCGGAUGUGAAAUCCCCGGGCUCAACCUGGGAACUGCAUUCGAAACUGCCUGGCUAGAGUUUGAGAGAGGGAAGUGGAGUUCCACAUGUAGCGGUGAAAUGCGUAGAUAUGUGGAGGAACAUCAGUGGCGAAGGCGGCUCACUGGCCCGAUACUGACGCUGAGGUGCGAAAGCGUGGGGAGCAAACAGG
rnacentral:rRNA from 1 species